rnacentral:rRNA from 1 species
GUGGGGAAUAUUGGACAAUGGGCGCAAGCCUGAUCCAGCCAUGCCGCGUGAGUGAUGAAGGCCUUAGGGUUGUAAAGCUCUUUUGUCCGGGAAGAUAAUGACUGUACCGGAAGAAUAAGCCCCGGCUAACUUCGUGCCAGCAGCCGCGGUAAUACGAAGGGGGCUAGCGUUGUUCGGUAUCACUGGGCGUAAAGCGCACGUAGGCGGACCAUUAAGUCAGGGGUGAAAGCCUGGAGCUCAACUCCAGAACUGCCUUUGAUACUGAUGGUCUCGAGUUCGGAAGAGGUUGGUGGAACUGCGAGUGUAGAGGUGAAAUUCGUAGAUAUUCGCAAGAACACCAGUGGCGAAGGCGGCCAACUGGUCCGAUACUGACGCUGAGGUGCGAAAGCGUGGGGAGCAAACAGGAUUAGAAACCCUAGUAGUCC